rnacentral:rRNA from 1 species
UAUAAGGGUUCGACUCCGGAGAGGGAGCCUGAGAAACGGCUACCACAUCCAAGGAAGGCAGCAGGCGCGCAAAUUACCCACUCUCGGCACGAGGAGGUAGUGACGAAAAAUAACGAGACGGAUCUCUUUGAGGCCCGUUAUCGGAAUGAGAACAAUUCAAAUCCUUUAACGAGGAUCUAGCGGAGGGCAAGUCUGGUGCCAGCAGCCGCGGUAAUUCCAGCUCCGCAGGUGUAUAUCUAUGCUGCUGCGGUUAAAAAGCUCGUAGUUGGAUCUGCGUGCUCGGAACUGGUUGGCUCACUGAGUUCAAACUGGUCUCCGGCGCUUUAUUGGCUGGUUUUCCCUUGAUGCUCUUAACCGGGUGUCUUGGGUGGCUAGCACGUUUACUUUGAAAAAAUUAGAGUGCUCAAUACAGGCGUAAAGCCUUGAAUAGUGGUGCAUGGAAUAAUAGAAUAGGACCUCGGCUCUAUUUUGUUGGUUUUCGGAACGCGAGGUAAUGAUUAAGAGGGACAGACGGGGGCAUUCGUAUUGCGACGUUAGAGGUGAAAUUCUUGGAUCGUCGCAAGACGGACGACUGCGAAAGCAUUUGCCAAGAAUGUUUUCAUUAAUCAAGAACGAAAGUUAGAGGUUCGAAGGCGAUCAGAUACCGCCCUAGUUCUAACCGUAAACGAUGCCAACUAGCGAUUCGCAGGCGUUAAACAACGACCUUGCGGGCAGCUUCCCGGAAACGAAAGUGUUCGGGCUCCGGGGGAAGUAUGGUUGCAAAGCUGAAACUUAAAGGAAUUGACGGAAGGGCACCACCAGGAGUGGAGCCUGCGGCUUAAUUUGACCCAACACGGGAAAACUCACCCGGCCCGGACACCGUAAGGAUUGACAGAUUGAGAGCUCUUUCUUGAUUCGGUGGGUGGUGGUGCAUGGCCGUUCUUAGUUGGUGGAGCGAUUUGUCUGGUUUAUUCCGAUAACGAACGAGACUCUGGCCUACUAAAUAGUGGGCGGAUUCUUUCUGUCCGCAACACUUCUUAGAGGGACAAGCGGUGUUCAGCCGCACGAGAUUGAGCAAUAACAGGUCUGUGAUGCCCUUAGAUGUCCGGGGCUGCACGCGCGCUACACUGAAGGAAUCAGCGUGCUUUCUGACCUUGCCCGAAAGGGCUGGGUAACCCGAUGAAAAUCCUUCGUGAUUGGGAUAGGGACUUGCAAUUAUUUCCCUUGAGCGAGGAAUUCCCAGUAAGUGUGGGUCAUAAGCUCGCGUUGAUUACGUCCCUGCCCUUUGUACACACCGCCCGUCGCUGCCCGGAACUGAGCCGUUUCGAGAAGAACAGGGACCGUCGUUGAAGGGCCUUAACGGGCUUUUCUCUGAUAGAAACUGUUUUAAUCGCAGUGGCUUGAACCGGGCAAAAGUCGUAACAAGGUU